rnacentral:rRNA from 1 species
CUAACCUGGGUCCGUCAUCCGGAUCGGGGACCGUGCAUGGUAGGCAGUUUGACUGGGGCGGUCUCCUCCCAAAGUGUAACGGAGGAGCUCGAAGGUCGCCUAGGUACGGUCGGACAUCGUACUGAUAGUGUAAUGGCAUAAGGCGGCUUAACUGCGAGACCGACAAGUCGAGCAGGUGCGAAAGCAGGACAUAGUGAUCCGGUGGUUCUGUAUGGAAGGGCCAUCGCUCAACGGGAUAAAAGGUACUCCGCGGAUAACAGGCUGAUACCGCCCAAGAGUUCACAUCGACGGCGGUGUUUGGCACCUCGAUGUCGGCUCAUCACAUCCUGGGGCUGUAGCCGGUCCCAAGGGUAUGGCUGUUCGCCAUUUAAAAGUGGUACGUGAGCUGGGUUUAAAACGUCGUGAGACAGUUUGGUCCCUAUCUGCAGUGGGCGUUGGAAGUUUGA